rnacentral:rRNA from 1 species
CAGUCGAGGGGUAACAGGGAUUGCUUGCAAUCCGCUGACGACCGGCGCACGGGUGCGUAACGCGUAUGCAACUUACCUUCUACAAGAGGAUAGCCCAGAGAAAUUUGGAUUAAUACUCUAUACGAUCAUUAAUUGGCAUCAAUUUAUGAAGAAAACUCCGGUGGUAGAAGAUGGGCAUGCGUCCUAUUAGUUAGUUGGUAAGGUAAUGGCUUACCAAGACUUCGAUAGGUAGGGGUCCUGAGAGGGAGAUCCCCCACACUGGUACUGAGACACGGACCAGACUCCUACGGGAGGCAGCAGUGAGGAAUAUUGGACAAUGGAGGCAACUCUGAUCCAGCCAUGCCGCGUGCAGGAAGACGGCCCUACGGGUUGUAAACUGCUUUUAUACAGGAAGAACUAUACCUACGUGUAGGUAUUUGACGGUACUGUAUGAAUAAGGAUCGGCUAACUCCGUGCCAGCAGCCGCGGUAAUACGGAGGAUCCAAGCGUUAUCCGGAAUCAUUGGGUUUAAAGGGUCCGUAGGCGGUCUGGUAAGUCAGAGGUGAAAUCCUGCAGCUCAACUGUAGCAUUGCCUUUGAUACUGCCAGACUUGAGUUAUUGUGAAGUAUUUAGAAUGUGCAGUGUAGCGGUGAAAUGCAUAGAUAUUACACAGAAUACCGAUUGCGAAAGCAGAUUACUAACAAUAUACUGACGCUGAGGGACGAAAGCGUGGGUAGCGAACAGGAUUAGAUACCCUGGUAGUCCACGCCGUAAACGAUGGAUACUAGCUGUUCGACCAACAUUGGUUGGUUGAGUGGCUAAGCGAAAGUGAUAAGUAUCCCACCUGGGGAGUA